AAUUAUUAUUAGAUUUUUAAAUAAUUAUUCACGAAAUAAAUUGAGCUAAAUUUUUGGGUAUUUUUGGAAAUUAUAACUAUAUGUACAAAAUAUAUUAACUAAAUAGAUUUAGGGGUGAAAGGCCUAUCAAAUUUUAUGAUAUCUUGAAGUAUAUAAAAUAUAUCAAGUAUUUCUAAAUUCAACUAUUGAAUGUUUAGGUUCAAUAGUAACAUUAUAUUUUUUAAAAAAUUGUUCAAUUUUUUUAAGUAAAAUUGAGUUAGAGCAUAAAAUAUACAUCAAAUUUUUAUUAUAUGAAUAUAAAUAUACUACGGUUAUUAAUAAAUAUAAUCAUAUAUAAUGUAAUUAUUAGUAAUAGUUUAUUAAACUAUAUAAAGGAAUUCGGCAAGAAAAUUUUUCACCUGUUUAUCAAAAACAUAGCUUAUUGAAUAUCAUAAUAAGUAACCCCUGCUCAAUGGAAAUCUAAAUAGCCGCAGUACCUUGACUGUGCAAAGGUAGCAUAAUCAAUUGGCUUAUAAUUGAAGUCUGGAAUGAAUGGGUAAUCUGGAAAAUAACUGUCUUUAUUUGUAGUAUUUUGAAUUUACUUAUAAAGUGAAAAUACUUUAAUAUAAAUAUAAGACGAGAAGACCCUAGAAAUUUUUUGUUAAUAACUUUUGUUGGGGCGACAGGGUAACAUAUAAACUUACUUACAUUUAUAUAAAUCUUAUAAGGUACGUAACUAAAUUACUCUAGGGAUAACAGCAUAAUAUAUAAAAGUUUAUGACCUCGAUGUUGGACUAGGUAAUUAAAUAUUUAAAAGAUAUCUUAAUUUGCUCUGUUCGAGCAGUAUCACCUACAU
rnacentral:rRNA from 1 species